rnacentral:rRNA from 1 species
UACGGAGGGUGCGAGCGUUGUCCGGAAUCACUGGGCGUAAAGGGCGCGUAGGCGGCGCGGGUAGUCAUCGGUGAAAGUUCAGGGCUCAACUCUGAAUCGGCCGGUGAUACUCCCGUGCUCGAGCACUGUAGAGGCAGGUGGAAUUCCGGGUGUAGCGGUGGAAUGCGUAGAGAUCCGGAAGAACACCGAUGGCGAAGGCAGCCAUCUGGACCGACACUGACGCUGAACUGCGAAAGCUAGGGGAGCGAACGGG